CCUUCAUGAAGUCGGAAUUGCUAGUAAUGGCAGGUCAGCAUACUGCCGUGAAUACGUUCCCGGGCCUUGUACACACCGCCCGUCACACCAUGAGAGUUGGAGAUACCCGAAGCCUAUGAGCUAACUUUUAGAGGCAGUAGUCGAAGGUAGAAUCAAUGAUUGGGGUGAAGUCGUAACAAGGUAAC
rnacentral:rRNA from 1 species